AACGAACGCUGGCGGCAUGCCUAACACAUGCAAGUCGAACGAGACCUUCGGGUCUAGUGGCGCACGGGUGCGUAACGCGUGGGAAUCUGCACCUGUGUCCGGCAUAACAGUUAGAAAUGACUGCUAAUACGGGAUGAUGACUUCGGUCCAAAGAUUUAUCGCCCAGGGAGGAGCCCGCGUCGGAUUAGCGAGUUGGUGAGGUAAAAGCUCACCAAGGCGACGAUCCGUAGCUGGUCUGAGAGGAUCAUCAGCCACACUGGGACUGAGACACGGCCCAGACUCCUACGGGAGGCAGCAGUGGGGAAUAUUGGACAAUGGGCGAAAGCCUGAUCCAGCAAUGCCGCGUGAGUGAUGAAGGCCUUAGGGUUGUAAAGCUCUUUUACCCGUGAUGAUAAUGACAGUACCGGGAGAAUAAGCCCCGGCUAACUCCGUGCCAGCCGCCGCAGUAACAC
rnacentral:rRNA from 1 species